GAUCAUUUCCUUCAAGUUUGGUUACAUGACUUUCAUGUUUGCAUUUCACAUACUACGCAAGAGUCAAUACAUACUUGAAAAGCAAAAAUAAUAGAAAAGUUAAGGGAUUAGUAGUGAGCAGCAGCAGCCAACCAAGAUUUGAUCAAUCAAACAAUGAAAUCAGCUUAUGGAAAUCAAUGAAACAUUGGAAGAACUCUAAAACCAACUCUAAACCAUAACUUAGGCAAUUUCUCAAAUCAAACGUGUAACCAGGGAAACUUGGAGGAUCUUAGCUAACCCAGAGAAAUCAGAAAUUCAAAUGAGAGAAUUUUAAUAGUUAUUUGAUAAUGGAAUGCAAGAAGUUUAGAAAAUUUUAAAGAAUUUCAGCCGUCUCAGCUUUUCAGGGGUUUCUUC
rnacentral:lncRNA from 1 species